rnacentral:rRNA from 1 species
AGUUUGAUCCUGGCUCAGAGCGAACGCUGGCGGCAGGCUUAACACAUGCAAGUCGAGCGGGCGCAGCAAUGCGUCAGCGGCAGACGGGAGAGUAACACGUGGGAACGCGCCCUUCGGUUCGGAAUAACUCAGGGAAACUUGAGCUAAUACCGGAUACGCCCUAACGGGGAAAGAUUUAUCGCCGAAGGAACGGCCCGCGUCUGAUUAGCUAGUUGGUGAGGUAAUGGCUCACCAAGGCGACGAUCAGUAGCUGGUCUGAGAGGAUGGCCAGCCUCACUGGGACUGAGACACGGCCCAGACUCCUACGGGAGGCAGCAGUGGGGAAUAUUGGACAAUGGGCGCAAGCCUGAUCCAGCCAUGCCGCGUGGAUGAUGAAGGCCCUAGGGUUGUAAAGUCCUUUUAACGGGGAAGAUAAUGACGGUACCCGUAGAAUAAGCCCCGGCUAACUUCGUGCCAGCAGCCGCGGUAGUCGGGCCCAAUCGCC